rnacentral:misc_RNA from 1 species
AACUUCCACCUGGCUUACCUCCUCAGUUAUGCGUCAUGACUUGUAUCGUCUUGAGCGUAUUGUGGGUUUCCUGUGUUGCAUACCUAAUAAUGGAAUCGUUUUGGUUGAUUGAAGUUCCUUUUCAUCACGUGUUGCCUUUGCGACGCAUGAUGAACCUCGAAGCGGUCUCUAUGUUCCACCACGUUGAUGCUAUUGUCUUGAUGUUGUGGCCCAUUGAGUGUUGCUUGGUUUCGUGGAUACAGAACAUGAUUUGGGCAUAGGGUCACCUGUGACUCUUGUUUUGUCCUUUAUCAGUGUUCUCUAUAACGACGGUUCAUGCGCGCCUAGGCUCGUACCUGCGCGAUGUUCUUUGUCGAAAAGGAAUGCUACCUGGUUGAUCCUGCCAGUA